rnacentral:rRNA from 1 species
GUUGGUGGAGUGAUUUGUCUGGUUAAUUCCGUUAACGAACGAGACCUUGACCUGCUAAAUAGCCGCGCGAUUCGCGAAUCGUGCACGGCUUCUUAGAGGGGCUGUUGGUGGUUAACCAAAGUCAGGAAGGCAAUAACAGG